UGGCAUUUGCGUUCGGGCGAGUUAAUCACCCGCGGAUCGGGUUCGAGUCGGACGCGCGCAGCGCGGGAGACAAUGGUGCCGCUUGCGGCAACGGCCCGAAGGGCGAGGGUCGAAGACCCGAGUCAUCCCGCCACCUCCGGCU
rnacentral:sRNA from 1 species